AGUGAACGCUGGCGGUAGGCCUAACACAUGCAAGUCGAACGGCAGCACAGUAAGAGCUUGCUCUUACGGGUGGCGAGUGGCGGACGGGUGAGGAAUACAUCGGAAUCUACUUUUUCGUGGGGGAUAACGUAGGGAAACUUACGCUAAUACCGCAUACGACCUACGGGUGAAAGCAGGGGAUCUUCGGACCUUGCGCGAUUGAAUGAGCCGAUGUCGGAUUAGUUAGUUGGCGGGGUAAAGGCCCGCCAAGGCGACGAUCCGUAGCUGGUCUGAGAGGAUGAUCAGCCACACUGGAACUGAGACACGGUCCAGACUCCUACGGGAGGCAGCAGUGGGGAAUAUUGGACAAUGGGCGCAAGCCUGAUCCAGCCAUACCGCGUGGGUGAAGAAGGCCUUCGGGUUGUAAAGCCCUUUUGUUGGGAAAGAAAAGCAGCAGGUUAAUACCCCGCUGUUCUGACGGUACCCAAAGAAUAAGCACCGGCUAACUUCGUG
rnacentral:rRNA from 1 species